rnacentral:rRNA from 1 species
UAAUACGGAGGAUGCGAGCGUUAUCCGGAUUUAUUGGGUUUAAAGGGUGCGUAGGUGGUGAUUUAAGUCAGCGGUGAAAGUUUGUGGCUCAACCAUAAAAUUGCCGUUGAAACUGGGUUACUUGAGUGUGUUUGAGGUAGGCGGAAUGCGUGGUGUAGCGGUGAAAUGCAUAGAUAUCACGCAGAACUCCGAUUGCGAAGGCAGCUUACUAAACCAUAACUGACACUGAAGCACGAAAGCGUGGGGAUCAAACAGGAUUAGAUACCCUGGUAGUCCACGCAGUAAACGAUGAUUACUAGGAGUUUGCGAUACAAUGUAAGCUCUACAGCGAAAGCGUUAAGUAAUCCACCUGGGGAGUACGCCGGCAACGGUG